AUUGAACGCUGGCGGCAGGCCUAACACAUUCAAUUCGGGCAAGCGGCGGACGGGUGAGUAAUGUAUGGGGAUCUGCCUGAUGGAGGGGGAUACCUACUAGAAACAGUAGCUAAUACCGCAUACCAUCAGAUGACCCCAUAUGGGAUUAGAUUUGAGGUGAGGUAACGGCUCACCUAGGCGACGAUCCCUAGCUGGUCUGAGAGGAUGAUCAGCCACACUGGGACUGAGACACGGCCCAGACUCCUACGGGAGGAAGCAGUGGGGAAGAGUGCACAAUGGGCGCAAGCCGGAUACAGCCAUGCCGCGUGUAGGAAGAAGGCCUUCGGGUUGUAAAGUACUUUCAGUCGGGAGGCGUUACCGACAGAAGAAGCACCGGCUAACUCCGUGCCAGCAGCCGCGGUAAUAC
rnacentral:rRNA from 1 species